rnacentral:tRNA from 1 species
UCACGUAUGGCUCAUACGGUAAAGCAUCUGCCUACAAUGCAGGAGACCUGGGUUCAAUCCCUGGGUUGGGAA